UAACUUACUUCUCUGAAGAUAAGAAACCUUCUGAAGGGGUUCAAGAAAACCCGAAAAUCAAAUGAUGAGAAGGUGACUCUGAGGAUUGGGACGGGUGCAAUUGUUGCAGCGACCGCCAUCGGGACCUUUUAUUUGAGUCUACUUAAGAAUAAGACCUUAGUUCUAAAAGAUUGUCUUUAUGUUUCAGAAGUUCGUAUAAAUUUGAUUUCUGUUUCAAAACUGGCUUUGUGUAGUCAUUCAUUGACUUUUAAUUCAAAGAUUGUUAUUAAAUUUCAAAAUCA